GAAACGAGAUGGCUUGCUGAACGGAUCCACACCGCUCAGACUCAGACUCUUGCCUCCCACCUCCUGAUAAGGUGCUCACACAACCAACUCCCAAGAAGACGUCGGGAGCCCGAGCCUGCAAAGCAGAGACAGAGAUGGAGCCAUAACUGUGUUACACAAGCUAGCCUGGAAUGCUUGGGCUCAAGCACUCUUCUUGAGUCCCUGGGAAAAUAUAGAGAGACCACAGCAAAACUAUGGGAUACUUGUGAAGAAUGGACUCACCAAAAACAAAUCUGUUACCAUUUCGCAAAAGAUCAAAAUACCUUAAGAUUGUACAUAGAAUCCCCUACACCUGUGGUAGACAUAUAGUUACAUGCUUCUUUUUCAUAUCUCAUUUUAGACAUAGAAUAAGUCCACGUCCCUGUUUCUGUGCUCUUGAAGUAGAACUUUAAAGAGAGAGCUUAGGUCCCUGCCCACACCCAGAGACAGCUUACCUUCCAGGAGUUUUGACACACUUAGGACAGAUGAGUCCUCCACCCCCACCCUAAAAUCCAGCCUAGCAAGGACCCUUGGGACCCAGAGGAUGAGGACCUUCCACCCUGCCUUCUGUUUCCCAUCUGUGCCUGGGAGCAGAUCCUGUGCACCAUUCCCACCACCCUAAGCCAACCACACCCAGAGACAGCUUGAUCCCCCCAGAGGUUCUGACACAGCCUGGCUCAAAGAUCAGGCUCCCCAGACCACUUCCCACACCCAGAGAGAGACUGACCCAAUGAGGCUCAACAUAACCAGGCUCACAUUAGAGGGAAAGGAUCCAGUUAGAGACAGCAAGGCCAGUUAACACCAGAGAUAACCAGAUGGUGAGAAACAAGCAAAAGAACAUAAGGAACAGAAACCAAUGAUACUUGGGAACAUCAGAACUCAGUUUUCCCACCACAGCAAGCUCUGGAUACCCCAACACACCAGAAAAGCAACAUUCAGAUCUAAAAUCCCAUCUCAUGAAGGUGAUAGAGGACUUUAA